GAUGAACGCUGGCGGCGUGCCUAAUACAUGCAAGUCGAGCGAACAGACGCGGAGCUUGCUCCUCUGACGUUAGCCGCGGACGGGUGAGUAACACGUGGAUAACCUACCUAUAAUACUGGGAUAACUUCGGGAAACCGGAGCUAAUCCCGGAUAACAUGUUGAACCGCAUGGUUCAACAGUGAAAGACGGUGUUUCUGUCAGUUAUAGAUGGAUCCGCGCCGCAUUAGCUAGUUGGUAAGGUAACGGCUUACCAAGGCAACGAUGCGUAGCCGACCGGAGGGGGGGGUAGGCGACAUGAGAGGGGGGACGGGGUCCAGGGGCCUGCGAGAGGGAGCAGAAGGCAACGGGCCGCAGUGGGGGAGAGCCUGACGGAGCAGGGCGACGUGAGUGAAAAAGGUGCUGGGAGCGGAAAACUCGGUUAUGAGGGAAGAACAAAUGUGUAAGGAACUGUGCACGUCGUGACGGUAACUAGUCAGAAAGCCACGGCUAACUACGUG
rnacentral:rRNA from 1 species